rnacentral:lncRNA from 1 species
UGGUAUCUACAUUGUCACCAGCAUUGUAGUCUUGGGCGGGGAUCUAUAUUCUACAUGAGGGAUCCUCCUAACAAGUGGUAUCAUCGCAAGGUUGUCUGGGGUUGCGGCAGUGUUGAUUGAAGUUGAAGAAGAUGAAGAAGAUAGGCUCAAUCAAGAUAAAGAUCAAUCGAUAUGAUGGGAAGAAUAAUUUCUUCCUAUGACAAGUGAAGGAGAAUGAUGUGCUCAUCUAACAAGGGUUGAUUG